rnacentral:rRNA from 1 species
GAUGAACGCUGGCGGCGUGCCUAACACAUGCAAGUCGAACGGAGAUUCCGGACGGAAGUUUUCGGAUGGAAGCCUGUAAUUCUUAGUGGCGGACGGGUGAGUAACGCGUGGGCAACCUGCCCUAUACAGGGGGAUAGCAGCUGGAAACGGCUGGUAAGACCGCGUAAGUCGGUUAAAUCGCAUGAUUUGAUCGGGAAAUGAGCAAUCAGGUAUAGGAUGGGCCCGCGUCCGAUUAGCCAGUUGGCAGGGUAAAAGCCUACCAAAGCGACGAUCGGUAGCCGGACUGAGAGGUCGGACGGCCACAUUGGGACUGAGACACGGCCCAAACUCCUACGGGAGGCAGCAGUGGGGGAUAUUGCACAAUGGAGGAAACUCUGAUGCAGCGACGCCGCGUGAGUGAAGAAGUAUUUCGGUAUGUAAAGCUCUAUCAGCAGGGAAGAUGAUGACGGUACCUGACUAAGAAGCCCCGGCUAACUACGUG